rnacentral:rRNA from 1 species
GACGAGCCACACGAACGUUAUUCGGAAUUACUGGGCUUAAAGGGUGCGUAGGCUGCGCGGAAAGUUGGGUGUGAAAUCCCUCGGCUCAACCGAGGAACUGCGCCCAAAACUACCGUGCUCGAGGAAGAUAGAGGUAAGCGGAACUUACGGUGGAGCGGUGAAAUGCGUUGAUAUCGUAAGGAACACCUGUGGCGAAAGCACUCUGCUGGGCCGACACUGACACUGAGAGACGAAAGCUAGGGGAGCGAAUGGG